rnacentral:rRNA from 1 species
UACGUAGGGUGCAAGCGUUAAUCGGAAUUACUGGGCGUAAAGCGUGCGCAGGCGGUUCUAUAAGACAGAUGUGAAAUCCCCGGGCUCAACCUGGGAACUGCAUUUGUGACUGUAGAGCUGGAGUACGGCAGGAGGGGGAUGGAAUUCCGCGUGUAGCAGUGAAAUGCGUAGAUAUGCGGAGGAACACCGAUGGCGAAGGCAAUCCCCUGGGCCUGUACUGACGCUCAUGCACGAAAGCGUGGGGAGCAAACAGGAU